rnacentral:lncRNA from 1 species
GUGUGUACCUCUAGGCCUGCUGUGUGUGUGUCUGGGUCUGCUGUGUGUAUCUCUAGGCCUGCUGUGUGUGUGUGUCUAGGUCUGCUGUAUGUGUCUCUAGGCCUGCUGUGUGUGUGUCUAGGUCUGCUGUGUGUAUCUCUAGGCCUGCUGUGUGUGUGUGUCUAGGUCUGCUGUAUGUGUCUCUAGGCCUGCUGUGUGUGUGUGUCUAGGUCGGCUGUGUGUAUCUCUAGGCCUGCUGUGUGUGUGUGUCUAGGUCUGCUGUGUGUGUCUCCUCCUCCUCGGACGUCUCCUCUCCAGGGCACAAGAGGCCAAGCCAACCCAAAUAUGGCAUGCCUAUUUCAAGCCUCUCCUUGCCUCAUAUCUGUUGAUAUCCCACUGGCCAAGGCCAGAAAGGCCCUACUAGGAC